CACCAGCGAGGGCAUCAAUGAAAAAAAUUUUUUAAGGAGACAACCAGCCUUGGGUCUCGGUGGUAACUGUGGAAGACGCAGGGACACAUCCUCUCCUUCGUCAUCACCUGCUUCCUUCCCACAAGAGAAGCUCUUCAGGGACUGAUGCAUCACCUUCCUCGCUCACUACUGGGUUCCUGGCUGCCUGUCUCUGCCUGGUUAUGAUUUCACAAAUUUACAAAGCCAGUGAUGUUAAACAAAGAGGAGUGCCAAUUUUUACCUUCAUGCCACUCGAUAGCUGAUCAACAGACAGCAAAAAUGACAGCCAGUUAGUUGGGCUUGCGCAUGGUUUCUGAGGAAAAUGGGUGUGGCCUGGGGGAAUGGAGGAGGAGGAUUCAGCCAGAUAAUCUCCAGUCUCUCCUGUAAAUUAGCAUAAACUUGCCAAGAAUAAACAAGAUAAAGGGUAUGAACAUUG